CGACCGGCGCACGGUGCGCAACGCGUAUGCAACCUACCUUUAACAGGGGAUAACACUGAGAAAUUGGUACUAAUACCCCAUAAUAUCAUAGAAGGCAUCUUUUAUGGUUGAAAAUUCCGAUGGUUAGAGAUGGGCAUGCGUUGUAUUAGCUAGUUGGUGGGGUAACGGCUCACCAAGGCGACGAUACAUAGGGGGACUGAGAGGUUAACCCCCCACACUGGUACUGAGACACGGACCAG
rnacentral:rRNA from 1 species